CAGCGUGGGUUCCAGGGCACACCAAUGAUAGGACAACUUUUGUCUCUGCCACUCAUCCCGGAAGGCUCUUGGUCCAUCUCAGGACACCUAAGUCCUCUUGGGCCGUCAAGCUCAGUGUUAUCAAGUUGGCAACCACGGUCUCCUUUGGGACUCUGAAAAGUGCCCGCUGAGGGAGGGGCCCUCAGGGGCCAAGUUUAAAUGCUGAUUCCAGUGGCCCAGCCCAGAGGUCCCAGGAAUCCUCUCAGGCCUCAGGAAGCAAGGCCCUGCCCCUCAAGCCCCCUGCUGUAUUUCUGUGGCCUGGGCUGGCGUAAGGGAACCUGUUAGGGCGCAGCAGCCCCCUGGGAGUGGGGAGCCCAGCUGCAGAGACAUGCAAACAGUAUGCACUGGACAUUUCUGAGUGCUGGGCCCUCUCCCAGCCUGUUCCAGAGGAAAAGCCUGGCUCCUGCAAGGAAGAGGCUGUUUUCCUCACAUAGCCACUUUCCUUGCUGCAUCAGGGCAGGAAAAGUGCACCUGGGCCCAAGCCAAAGAGCCGCCUCUGUGCCCCCCACCUUGCGGAGGCUGCCUGAGGCCAGAGUUCAGCCUGAAGAAGCAGGAAGCUGAGCUCCUCCAGCAGGCUGGCCACUUCCCCUUUCUGAGGAAGGGACACCCUAGUGGAGCAGCUUUCUAUGUCCCAGCAAAGGCCAUAUGCCUGCAGAUGUCCCCUGCUGGGAGCCUGUCUCAUACCAUACCCUGAGUGGGGGCAAUCUCUUUUUAGUACCAGCGACAGCUAGAUCACAAGCCUGUGUGCGGCAGAGGCCUGGAAGCACCAUGGCUCCCUCUCAUUAGUCUCUAGGAUGGAGUCUCUGUCCUCGUGAGCAACAAGAACAUGUAUUCCUCUCUCUUUUCAGACUCUGAUUCUUGGAACUUACACCCUCUUGGGUUUGCUAUUUUUACCCACCCUGAGCCUUCCGGUCUCCAUGGCGACGCCUCCAAACAGCAGAUUCCAGGCGGCAAUGACGUCACCUUUCCCUUUCCUGCCGCCCAGGCCUCUAGGCGCUGCUGCCUGGGGCCCAGGGGCUGCCCUGUUCUGUGCCCCCUCAGAGCAGCCCUCAGCCAAGACGCCAAGGAAUGAAGUCCCAACUCGCCUCCAUCUGACAUCGGCAGGCGCAACCACAGGUCCGGGCAGGAGGCAGGCAGGUGGCUGUACUAAAAUUAACAUGACCUAUGUGUGCUUUCCGUUUCUACUGUGCAAGGUGUCUUGGGAUCGCUUCUGAUUGGGAAGUGUCCGAGCAAGAAGACGUCAGACUCAGGUGUUGGACCUGAAGGAACUUAGAGCUGUGAAGUCUUACAGUAUGGUGAACUGCCCCAUCUGGUGCUCCCAGGCCCGCAGGGAUCCACACUGUUGAGGAAGGGUGGGGUAUGGGAGAGGUGAGGUAUGGGAGGUGCUGGAGAGGAGCGAGGUGUGGGAGGCAGCAGAUGGACCGAAGGCUGGGAGUGAGUGCAGGUCGCAGGAGAGGUUGACUGGGGUGCAAAACCUGGCCAGUCAACAGAAGGCAGCACCGGCAGGUGACCACGGAUAGAGGCUGGCCAAGGCUGCCCUGCUCAGUGCCUCUUUCCGUUAGUGCGCACCCUGCAGGGUUCCCCAGGCCAUUUUAGCUGCUAGUCCAGAAAACUCUGGGCAGUGGGAAGAAGGCAGUGAGUAGGCCUUCACACCUGCUGAGUGCCCACCAACUUCUGGUCACACAGUGGGCAGACCCUGGAGAGAAGGUGGGACCCCCUGAAGUCCUGGGUACUCAGGAUUACUAAGUCCCUGAUCACAUGACCUAGGGCUCUUCCCUGAUGCUCCCAUCUCCUGUACCCAGGUGAACUCAUUGUGUAAAGAAACUAUUUCAUUUGGGCGAUGGUGGCACACACCUUUAAUCCCAGAACUUGGGAGGCAGAGGCAGGUGGAUCUCUGUGAGUCUGAGGCCAACCUGGUCUACAAAGCAAAUUCCAGGACAGCCAGAGCUCUGUUACAUAGAGAAACCCUGUCUUGAAAAAUCAAAUGAAAAAGGGGGGAAACAGGAGCUGAUUGUCCCCAAGGAAUGGGGUCCCUUCAAAGAGGUAAGCAGAGGAUACGCAAGGGCGGUUUCCACAAGCUCAUUCAGUAUGUGCCAGGACCCAGCAAGGGACCACAGCACUGGCAGAAUUAAUGGCAUGCCAAGCACUCAGGCUUGGGGACACUGAAGGACACCAGCCCGUGACCUGGCUGCAGAGGUGGUGGACUGUGAACAUUUGGGGUUGCUUAGUUUGGCUGUCUGUGGAGAUGACAAGGGGUGGCUAGGCUUGAGAGCACAGGGUCUUCCACAACCUGAAAGGCAGCUCAUAAAACAUGUAAGGAGUCCAGAUGGCAGGAUUCAGCCACACAGGCUACCUAGCCUUGUAGUUAGGGUUUCUAUUGCCAUGACAAAACACCAUGUCCAAAAGCAACUUGGGAAGGAAAGGAUUUCUUUCACUUUACCGCUUGUGGCCCAUCAUCCAGGUAAGUCAGAGUAGGAACUCAGGGCAGCAACACAGAGACAAAACUAAAGCAGGAAUCAUGGAAGAACACUGCUCACUGGUCUGCUCCUUAUGGCCUGCUCAGUCUUUCUAACAGCAUCGAGGACCACCAGCCCAGGGGUGGAUCUGCCCACAGUGAGCUGGGCCCUCCCACAUCAAUCAUCAAUUUAAAAAAAUGUCUCAUAGGUUGCCUACCUGGUGGGGGCAUUUUCCCAAUUGAGGUUCUUCUCUUCCCAAAUGACUCUAGCUGAUGUCAAGUUGACCUAAAAUUAGCCAGAACACCUUGGCUGGAUCUUCUAGAAUGGAGACUCUAUCCUUAGGGGCUAGAGAGAGCCACUUCACCAUCCAACAGGACAUCACUCAUCACUAAUAAGCUGGGAAGACCUGGCUUCAUUGCCAGCUUGGCCAGUUACGGUCAUGUGUCCUGUGACAUUUGGUGCAUGCCUUGGGCCUCAGUUGGACUCAUCAUUCCACAGUACCUCUAUCACACAUAGGUCAUGGAAAAUACACAUAGGUCAUGUUAAAUCACAAGGUUGGAUGUGGUGGGGAACAGUGGUUCUUUGGAAGAGGGCCACAUGGCUGUGGUGAGGGUUGAGAUCCCAGGGGACAAGGCAUAUAGGAGGUGGCUCAGGUCCCAGAUGCAGACUCUUACUUGUUGCUAUUUUGAGGAAUUAGGGUACUGCCCCUACCUCCAUCCCAGGCAAACUCUUAGGGCACAGGCCAGCUCUAAAUUUGGAAGAUGAGGGACUGCUCAUAUCCAAGCAGUCCAUCAUCGCUGAAGGGGUGAGCAGGUUAGCAUCAGAUUUACCUGAGAGAGAACAGCCAUGCUGAAUGGAGCUGACUACAAAGAAGGGUUAUCUACACAGGCCAUGGCUGCCAUGAACCCCUGACUCAGCCAUGUCAGUCAGUCACUCUGACAUCGGUCAAGUCAGAGUGGCCUUAAGUGCAGAGAUCUGUGAUGAGAACUGGCCUUGCCACAGAACAGCCCACGGAAGAAAAGGAAGCAGUAGAGUGGAAGGCAGGGCUGCUCCGUGUGCCGUCACGGGUGGCUGCUUGCUGCCCUCUAGGGUGUAUUUGGACUCCAUUCUGGGCUGUAUGUUGGUAGCAGUUGUGAGAUGGGGUGAUAGAUUCAGCCAGGUAUCAGGGCACCACUCUCUGUGGACAGACAGCCCCUGAGGUCCUAAUGAUCUUUGGCUGACCUCUGAGGGGAAGGUCCACGUCUCGUGAGAAGAGGGAGGGCAUCAGCAGAGCCCUGUUAUUUACUCCACUGAGGGUUACGCAUAGUCCCUACCCAGCUCCACACGGGAGGCCCCUAGAGAGGGGGACAAAAGCUAUCUUACACAGAAGUGGGGUGACACAGACCUGACACGCUCGGUGCUGGGCUUUCAGAGUGGCACCUGGAGAGCAAGCUGGGAGACGGACCUCGUUGGGCACCAGGGAAGAGAUGUGGCUAGGAGCAAGCAGGAGAGUAUCUGGGAUCAAGAUCUGGGAGUCACACGGUGCUCAGGUUUACUGGGACAGCCCUAACUAAGCCUGCUUCUCCAAACAGUCUACAAGGAGCACAAAGGUGGGGAAAUAUAAACAUGUGGGCCAAGUGGCUGGGGAGAUUGUUCAAUCGGAAAAGUACUUGCUGUACAAGCAUGAAAGGACCCGAGUUUGAUCCCCAAAACCCAUCUAAAAAGAUAGGCACAUUUGUAAUGCCAGCACUGGGGAGGCAGAGACAGCUGGAUUCUCUGGGUUCACUGGCCAGCCUAACUGGCAAACUCAGUCCCAUUGUCUCAGAAAAUAAGAUGGGCAGCUGCUGAGUUACUGUAAUUGACCCCAACCUUGACAAGCACAUACACACACGUAACCCAUACACACAGUUAUGAAUGCACACACACACAUUAGUUGAACCAAAUACAGUUUUUUUUUUUUUUCUAUAACAUACACUUCUUCCAGGUGAGCAAACACAAGACAGUCUCCCAGGCAGUACCUUCUCAAAUUCCUGCUCACUGUAUUCUGGUUUCUUCUAGAAAGUGCUGUGAAGCCCAGAGAAGUUGCUCUUGUCCUUGUAUCCCUGGACCUCAGGAGCCUGAGCUGUGUGCCGGGUCUGGAUGGCCCACCUGCUUGAUUUUCCAGUGCCAGGAGUAUCCAGGGUGUUUACAUGGUGCCAUGGGAAGGACUCUGAGCCAUUCAAAGUCAAACUGUAUGGUAGGGUGCAGCUCAGCAACAGAGCACUCAGCUAGCAUACCUUUGGUUCCGUCUCCAGGGGCACAGGGAGGGGAAAAAAUCAACAACAACAAAAAAGAAAGUUAAAAGUGUAGCCCGUCAUAGCCUGAAACUAAUGGCUGUGAUAAACAACCCCCAUGAUUUGUGUACUUCAGACACUGUUGGAAACCUGAACCCCACCUGGCUGAGGGGGCCAGAAGCUUAAGGGACCUCCAGCAUCUGGG